rnacentral:rRNA from 1 species
GACGUAGGGUGCGAGCGUUGUCCGGAUUUAUUGGGCGUAAAGAGCUCGUAGGCGGCUCGUCGCGUCGACCGUGAAAACCCGCGGCUUAACUGCGGGCUUGCGGUUGAUACGGGCGGGCUAGAGUUCGGUAGGGGGAGACUGGAAUUCCUGGUGUAGCGGUGAAAAUGCGCAGAUAUCAGGAGGAACACCGGUGGCGAAGGCGGGUCUCUGGGCCGAUACUGACGUGAGGAGCGAAAAGCGUGGGGGAGCGAACAGG